rnacentral:rRNA from 1 species
ACCUAUGGGCCCUAGUAGAUUUUUUUCACUGCUCAGAUGACGCUGCGGCGUGCUUAACACAUGCAAGUCGAACGGUGAAGCAGAGCUUGCUCUGUGGAUCAGUGGCGAACGGGUGAGUAACACGUGAGCAUCUGCCCCUGACUCUGGGAUAAGCGCUGGAAACGGCGUCUAAUACCGGAUACGAGCUGCGACCGCAUGGUCAGUAGCUGGAAAGAAUUUCGGUCAGGGAUGAGCUCGCGGCCUAUCAGCUUGUUGGUGAGGUAAUGGCUCACCAAGGCGUCGACGGGUAGCCGGCCUGAGAGGGUGACCGGCCACACUGGGACUGAGACACGGCCCAGACUCCUACGGGAGGCAGCAGUGGGGAAUAUUGCACAAUGGGCGCAAGCCUGAUGCAGCAACGCCGCGUGAGGGAUGACGGCCUUCGGGUUGUAAACCUCUUUUAGCAGGGAAGAAGCGAAAGUGACGGUACCUGCAGAAAAAGCGCCGGCUAACUACGUGCCAGCAGCCGCGGUAAUACGUAGGGCGCAAGCGUUAUCCGGAAUUAUUGGGCGUAAAGAGCUCGUAGGCGGUCUGUCGCGUCUGCUGUGAAAACCCGAGGCUCAACCUCGGGCCUGCAGUGGGUACGGGCAGACUAGAGUGCGGUAGGGGAGAUUGGAAUUCCUGGUGUAGCGGUGGAAUGCGCAGAUAUCAGGAGGAACACCGAUGGCGAAGGCAGAUCUCUGGGCCGUAACUGACGCUGAGGAGCGAAAGGGUGGGGAGCAAACAGGCUUAGAUACCCUGGUAGUCCACCCCGUAAACGUUGGGAACUAGUUGUGGGGUCCAUUCCACGGAUUCCUUGACGCAGCUAACGCAUUAAGUCCCCGCCUGGAGAGGCAAACCG